GUUUCGAUCUGGCUCCGAUUGAACGCUGGCGGGGAUGUUUUUACGCACAGUCGAACGGCAGCACGGACUUCAGUCCCCGGUUGGCGAGUGGCGAACAGGUGAUGUGUAUCGGAACGUGCCUAAUGCUGGCGGGGAUAACUACGCGAAAGCGCUAAUACCACAUACGCCCUUCGGGGAAAGCGGGGACCUUCCGGGCUCGCACUAUUAAACGGCCGAUAUCGGAUUAGCUAGUUGGUGGGGUAACGGCUCACCAAGGCGACGAUCCGUAGCUGGUUUGAGAGGACGACCAGCCACACUGGGACUGAGACACGACCCAGACUCCUACGGGAGGCGGCAGUGGGGAAUUUUGGACAAUGGGGGAAACCCUGAUCCAGCCAUCCGCGUGUGCAUUGAAGGCCUUCGGGUUGUAAAGCACUUUUGGCAGGAAAGAAACGGCACGGGAUAAUACGUGCAACUGACGUACCUGCAGAAUAAGCACCGGUAACUACGUGCCAGCGGCCGCGGUAAUACGUAGGGUGCAAGCAUAAUCAGAUUACUGGGCGUAAAAGCGGCCGCAGGGCGGCGUUUCCGGAAGAAGAUGUGAAAUCCCAGAGCUUAACUUUGGAACUGCAUUUUUAACUGCCGAGCCAGAGUGUUAUCAGAGGGAGUGGGCCGCGUGUAGCAGUGAAAUGCGUAGAUAUGCGGAGGAACACCGAUGGCGAGCGGCCUCCUGGGAUAACACUGACGCUCAUGCACGAAAGCGUGGGGAGCAAACAGGGUUCGUCCCUGGUAAUCCACGCCCUAAACGAUGUCAACUAGCUGUUGGGGCCUUCGGGCCUUGGUAGCGCAACUAACGUGAAGUUGACCGCCUGGGAAGUACGGUCGCAGAUUAAACUCAAAGGAAUUGACGGGGACCGCACCAAGCGGUGGAUGACUAUGGAUUAAUUCGAUGCAACGCGAAAAACCUACCUUGACAUGUCUGGAAUCCCGAAGAGAUUUGGGAGUGCUCGCAAAGAAACCGGAACUUGCCGGUGCUGCAUGGCUGUCGUCAGCUCGUGUCGUGAGAUGUUGGUUCGUCCCGCAACGAAGCGCAACUGCUGUCAUUGGUUGCCCACAGGGCACUCUAAUGCGUUGCCGAUCAAACCGGAGGAAGGUGGGGAUGACGUCAGUCCUCAUGGCCCAUAUGGGUAGGGCUUCACGGUCAUACAAUGGUCGGGACAGAGGGUCGCCAACCCGCGAGGAGCCAAUCAGAAACCCGAUCAUAGUCGGAUCGCAAUCUACAACUCUGACUGCGUGAAGUCGAAUCACCAAUAAUCGCGGAUCAGCAUGUCGCGAUGAACACAUUACAGUCUUGUACACCGCCCGUCACACCAUGGAAUCAGGUUUUACCAGAAAUGGUUAGCCUAACCCGUAGGAGGGCGAUUACGGAUUCAUGACUGGGGUGAAGUCAUCAUCAAAAUCG
rnacentral:rRNA from 1 species